GGCAGCAGGUGGCGUAACGGUUAAAGUCAUCGACUUCCGAUCGAAGGAACCCGGGUUGGAAUCCCUGCUCCUGCCG
rnacentral:tRNA from 1 species